AGGAAAUUCCCGCUAGGGUUGUGUCUUGCUGUAAAGACCAGUGUGAAUUUUCAGUUUGAUGCAGACCAUUUUCUGCUGGUUCGGUGCUAGUCUAUCUGGUGGACCAGCAUGUCCAGUUGGAAGCUGGGAACAGUUAUGAACGCGCUGAGAACCAUUUGCCCAGGCUGUGGAUUAAAGGUAAUAAUAAUGUUCAUUUUCUUACACAGACCAAACGUUUCACUUCAUAAGACCUCAAAGAAUCAUCAGGAGCCAUGGGUUUUGAUUGGUCUUAUCUGUAUAUGAUUUUAUUUUUUAUUUCUUUUCUCAAAAACCGACAGACUAUGAAUUACAGUAUAUGAAUUACCAAGGACAACAGUUGCACCUAAAAAUGACAAGAAGUCACCUGCAUCAUGGAUGGCUUGGUCUUAUUGUGCACAAUCUUUCAGCCUACCCACACAGAAGAAUCAACCAAAGCAUCCAAUCAACCACCACCAACAAACACCAGCAAAACAACACAGAUCUCUUUAUUAACCAUCUAGCAACCAGCUACAACAUCUUAGCAACACACUAGCAAACACAUUUCAACAUCUUGUCAUUUUCCCAGAACACCCUAGCACAUAUCGAACAAUGCCGUAGCA
ensembl:lncRNA